rnacentral:lncRNA from 1 species
GGAAAUGCUGCUCUUCCUUUGAGGUGAGUGGGUAGCUGGGGCCCAAAACAACCCCUGCUGCCUGCCUCUGCUCUUUGAGGAACGGCUCAGCACAGCUCACCUUACCCACGGAGACCCUUGAUAGAUGGCAUGUGGAACAAUCUGAUCUCUCCCUUUUCCCAGGACAGACUUGUUCCUGACAAUACGCUUCAUAUCUGUUAUCAAAUGAAUUAAAACAUGCAAAUCAGAGAAAGGUCUGCAGAGUUACCCCGGUGCUUUCAAAGAGCCUAAAGUCACAAUUUAUUGCAACUCGGAGCCUUUUAAAAACAACGACUGCUUUAGCAGAGCUGGGGGGGAAGAGGGGUUGCGCGUGCAGUCAAAGCCGUAAACGCAAGCCUUAGCCUGAAAAAAGGUAAUUGUGCUGUGAAUGCUGACAGAUCUGACAGAAAGUGUCUUCAUUGAGAAAUUGCAUUUUGAAGUUCUUCCCAUUCCUUCAGAAAUAAAUGGACUAAAGCACCAGGGCUGGCUCUGACAGGAAGCGGGGACUCGGGACUUCAAAUACAAACAUUAUGAAAAACAAGCAACAUCUGCAAACACACCCUUCAAGUUCCAGAGGGAAAAAACACAUCAGGCUGCUCUGUCUUUAUCCCGGGGAAUCUAAACUAGAAUUGAGCGCGUUGCAGGCAAUCAAUACUGCUGUGCAAAUUAGCCUUUAUGACUGAACCACUGUUUGCUCAGAGGAAGAAAAAAAAAUCAGCGCUCCUGAUGCCCAGAUUGUAGUGCUGCCUGGGCAGUCCAGGGCUCUGCUCACAGGGCUCCCACAGAGCUGCUCAGUGUGGGAAGGACACAGUUCUGAGCUUGUUGCACUGAGCCUGUGCUGUUCCUCUCAAGCAACAGAUGAGCAGGAGGUGAAGUGAGGACUUCGGACUGAAGUUGAGAAGAAACCUCCCCCAGGGCCCCAAGGCCAACUAAGCACGAGGUGUCCAGAGGGGAUGUGCACUCAUCAUCCCUAAAUAUUUUCAAGACCUAAGGAGAAAAAUCCCUCAACAACUUCUUUAGAGCACACAGUAACUUGUUUUGAGCAGGACUAGAGACCUCCAGUGGCUCCUUCCAACCUAAGCUAUGGCCACAAAUCUCUCUUUAAAACCGAACUACGAACACCUGCUGAGUUGCUUCAGUAAGACACACCUUCAGUAAGAUGCCCAGUAAAGUGUUUCAGAAUCUGGUCUUUGGGGUGCGACUUGUCAUUAAUUUUUGCCCCAUCC